UGCACAUUUCUCUGCAUAUAAGCAUUUCAUUUAUGAAUAAGAAUUUCUUCAAAAUUUUUUUUCUUUUUUUGAGAUGGAGUUUCACUCUUGUUACCCAGGCUGGAGUGCAAUGGCGCGACCUCGGCUCACUGCAACCUCCGCCUCCUGGGAUCAGGCAAUUCUCCUGCCUCAGCCUCCUGAGUAGCUGGGAAUUACAGGUUGCUAAGAUAAUCUGGACAUGAGCUAUCAAAGCAUGGCAUCUCCUGGCUACAAGCAUCAUUCUUGGCACUUUUAUUAGAAUCAUCAAGAAGGGGGCACUCUCCUUCUUCAAGUAACAUCUUAGCCCGGAGCCUCGGGGAGCCAUAUUGGAUACCAGAUGGAGAGAGCCUGCUGAGCAAAUUUGAGGAGAGAGUGAGGCCUGAAAACACCAUUUGUCCAGAAGCCUGAUGUACUGCUAGAUUUUUUUCAUAAAUAAAUAAAUGUUAUUUGUUUUUAAUAUAAACUAGCAGAGUUGGACUUUUGUCAUUUGAAUGAGUCACGAUUAGAACAUGGUGUGAGGCAGACAUAGUUUUCUUCAUUUAACUGUAUUUUCAGUAGUUUAAAUAACUCAGUCAGAAUUAUGGAACUAGGUAUUGGCUUAGGCCAAAUUAUGGCUUUUUUGAAAUCAUAACUGUGAUUUUUGUUCUCUUCAGAAACACAUAUCCACUUAGCUGUGAUGAGUUUUUUCGUAUUUGUGACUGUGAUCUAUUUUGGCUGAUGUGUAAGAGAAUAAUAUUUUGAUGACCUAACACGUUUGCUAUCAUUAAUUUUGGUGCUUGAUCCCACCACUUCUAUUUAAAAUUAGAGUGGAGGUCCUAGUCAGUAAAAUACAGCAAGAAAACACAAAUACAAGGCAUAAAGAAACUCUCUUGGGGUAGGAAGAAACUCUCUUUAUUCACAGAUGACAGAAUCAUGUAUGCAGAAAGCUAUAAGGAAGAAAAAAACUGGUGACUAAGUUAGACAAAGUUGCAGAAAAGGAAGGUAUUUUAUAGAACUGUUUGUUUUAUAGUAUAGAAACACACAAUUAGAGAACAACAUAAAUGACCAUUUACAAUUACAUUCAACAUUACCAAAGUACUUAGGGAUAUUUAAUAAAAUAUAUGAGACUGGUACAAUAAAGGCUACAAAAUAUUGCUGAAAGAAAUUAAGACCUUCACAAAUGGGGAAUAUAUCAUGCCCAUAUAUUAGAAUACUAAAUAUUACUGAGAUGUCAAUUUGUUUCAAAUUGAUAUGUACAUUUAUUACAAUAUCAAUUGAAUUCCAAGCAGACUUUUUCUGUAGAAAUUAACAAACUACAUCUAAAAUGUUUUGGGGAAUACAGAGACAUAGAACAGCUGAAAUAAUUUUAAUUUAAUAAAAAGAAUGUAGAAGACUUAUACUACCUGUUUUCAAGAUUUACUGUAAACCUAUAAUAAUUAAGAAAUCAUGGUGCUGGCAUAGAAUAGACAUAUAAAUCAACAGAACAAGAUAGAAUCCAGACAUAGACAUAAACCAGCUCAGACAU
rnacentral:lncRNA from 1 species